UACGUAGGGGGCAAGCGUUGUCCGGAAUCAUUGGGCGUAAAGAGCGUGUAGGCGGCCCGCUAAGUCCGCUGUGAAAGUCCAGGGCUCAACCCUGGAAUGCCGGUGGAUACUGUCGGGCUCGAAUCCGGAAGAGGUGAGUGGAAUUCCUGGUGUAGCGGUGAAAUGCGUAGAUAUCUGGAGGAAUACCGGUGGCGAAGGCGGCAUCCUGGACCGAGAUUGACGCUGAUGAGCGAAAGCUAGGGGAGCAAACGGG
rnacentral:rRNA from 1 species